GAUGAACGCUAGCGACAGGCUUAACACAUGCAAGUCGAGGGGCAGCAUAAAAGUAGCAAUACUUUGGUGGCGACCGGCGCACGGGUGAGUAACGCGUAUGCAACCUACCUAUCAGAGGGGGAUAACCCGGCGAAAGUCGGACUAAUACCGCAUAAAACAGGGGCACCGCAUGGUGCUAUUUGUUAAAAAUUUAUUGCUGAUAGAUGGGCAUGCGUUCCAUUAGGUAGUUGGAGAGGUAACGGCUCACCAAGCCUACGAUGGAUAGGGGAACUGAGAGGUUGGUCCCCCACACUGGUACUGAGACACGGACCAGACUCCUACGGGAGGCAGCAGUGAGGAAUAUUGGUCAAUGGGCGAGAGCCUGAACCAGCCAAGUCGCGUGAAGGAAGAAGGAUCUAUGGUUCGUAAACUUCUUUUGUCAGGGAAUAAAGUGCAGGACGUGUCCUGUUUUGUAUGUACCCUGAGAAUAAGGAUCGGCUAACUCCGUGUCCAGCAGCCGCGGU
rnacentral:rRNA from 1 species